CUUACCGCUCAGGAUCUUCCCAAAACAAGAUCAACCUCAGCAGCCACCAUCUUGGAGUCCAGAUAAUGCUCCCCUAUGAUGGCCAACUGAAGAGAAGCAUAGCCUCCGAAUAUGUCGCAGGCUGAGAGCCUUGAGGUCUCUUUGAAAGCCCUCCUCCUCAGACGAGGGAGUAGACAACACAGAUCUGGCACCCCUGAUGUCACCAGGAGUAACAUCAGGGGAUCCAGACAGAGAAGCUUGUUGAGAGGAGCUACCUGGUGGCAAAAUACCACUGUACCAGCAACCUGCCUUCUAGCCUUCCUCCACUUUCACCUAGCCGCCCCAGGCAAACGUGCCUUUCGCAG
rnacentral:lncRNA from 1 species